rnacentral:tRNA from 1 species
GGGGGCGUUCCGAUCUUGGUUCAGGGUCGCGACUCAAAAUCGCGUGUGCAUUGCACAAGUGGGUUCGAUCCCCACCGCCCCCA